UAAUUUUUUUCAGAAUUAAUGCCAAACUCAAAAUCUCCUUUAUUAAUUAGAGUUAUAGUUAAAUAAAAAUACUGUUCAUUUUCUUUCAUUUCUUGUUCAUCAAUCAUUGUUAUUGGACAUCUCGAAUCUCCAUAUCAGAUCAAAUCAUAUUUGUGUAAAUUCUUAAUGGAGAGGUGAGAGUGGUGUUAUAGUCUCAGCGUGGGAAAAAAUUCACCUCAAAAAUGAUAAAGGUGGUAUUUAAACGCCCGUGUAUUAAGUACUAAAGAACAGAUCGAAGGAACACUCCAAGGUCAUGAAGAAGAUACAAAAUACAAGUCAUUUCUGUGGCAGUGGAGGCUAGUGCUCUAUACUCAGCUUCAGCACUCGAUCGGGCUACUAUGGUCUGUUUCUUGGAGGUCCAAGAAAUAGAAUUUUCACCUAAAUGGAUACUAUAGCCUAUAGUUGAUCUCCUAGUUGGUGUACAACCUCCCCUAGCAGCAUCUGAGUAGCCAUACACCUACAUGGUGAUUGUGAAAUAAUUCUGAGUCCAACAUGUAGAGUAACUUUGAUGUACCUCAGAAUCCUUUUUACCCUUUGAGGAUGUUCAAUAUUUGAGCUUUGCAUAAACUGGCUUGCUAAAUUCGCAGCAUGAAUGAUAUCAGGUCUUAUGAGGGUUAAAUAUUGAAGGCUCUCUACUAUCAUUAAGUAAAAUGAUGUAUCUACAAGACUUUGCACAGCUUCAUGCAAACCAUGUUUUUGAACCAAAGGAGUGGUUACAGCCUUUACCAAAGUCAUCUCUAUUUUGGCCAACAGCUCAGCAACAUACUUGCUUUGAUUUAAGUGAAUUCCACCUUCAAAAUACUUCACCUCGAUUCCUAGGAAAAGUGUAAAGGGACAAGAUCUUUCAAAGCAAACCCCUUUCCAAGUUGUAGAAACAACUCUGGGACAUGAGAUGGAUUACUUCCUGUGACAAUAAUAUCAUCCACAUAUAUCAAGAGAAAUAUUUUGUCUUUGUGAGUUUGAAAGGUAAAUGAGAAAGGAUCAGCCUUACUACAAAUGAAACCAAGGUGUAAAAGAUGCAUGCUAAACUUAUCAAACCAGGCUCUUGGGGCUUGUUUAAGACCAUACAAUGUCUUUUUAAGUAGACAUACAUGCUGAUGAUACUGGGAUCAAUAAAAUAAGGAGGUUGACUCAUGUACACCUCCUCUUGCAAGAAACCAUGGAGAAAGAUAUUUUUGACAUCUAGUUGUCUAACUUCCCACUUUGAACUGACAUCAAUGGAUAGAACCACCCUAAUAGUUGUAGCUUUAACCACAGGACUAAAUGUUUCUACAAAAUCUACCUCUUAAAGCUGCGAGAAUCCCCUCGCCACAGGUCUGACCUUGUAUUUAUCUAUUGUUCGAUCAGCUUUUUAAUUUUGUCUUGAACACCCAUUUUGAGCCAACAAAGUUUAUACCAGGAGAUUUGGGCACAAAAAUCCAUGUCUUGUUCGUAUGUAAAGCAUCAAUUUCUUCCUGCAUUGCUGCAAGCCAAUGAGGUGAUUUUAAUGUUUCCUUAGUAGUAUUUGGUUCUCUCACAAUUUUUUUGCUGCUGCGAGCAACAAGUGACAGUGUUGUUCCUUCGCCUUGUUUCUGGUGAUCAUAUGAUGCCCUUGGGGUGCAAGAAGUACCUCAACUGGUACAUCAACGAAUGUAGUUAAUUGGAGAUGAAUUUGUACAUCAACUAAAGUGGUUGUUUGAUGAUGAUCAUUGGCUAGACCUAUAAGAGCAAACUGUUCCUCACUGUUGCUGGCAGUAUGCAGCUGAAGUUUCAAUACUAUUGUAUGGAUCAUAAACUUUAACGUGUUACUCAAUAUCUGAUCUUGCGCCUGAGAGGUCAAUAAUACUCUCAUCAUCAAUGGAUGCAUAAGGUGUAGCAACAUUUUCACUAUUAAUGUAUGGGCUAGCCGCAUGUACUUCCCCUGAAUCAAAAUUAUCAUGUGCCUGCAGUUUAGAGAAUUAUUCAACAAAAGUAUCAAGGUGAGGUGAGACAUCAAUGCUAGUCUGAGAUUGCUUUGGAGACACAUAGGGUAAUGUGUUUUCAUCAAACACAACAUGUCUGGAUAUGUAAACCCUCUUUGUAGAGGGACGAUAGCAUUUAUAUCCUUUGUGUAAGUUGUUGUACCCUGUGAACACACGGGAAUAGUUCUUUGGACUGAACUUAUUGUUACCCUUUAUAUAAGAAAAACAUCUACACCCAAACACUUUUAGGCUGUUGUAAUCAAGUUGUUCACCAUAGAACUUAACAAAUGGAGUCCCCAUCUUUAGGACUGAUGAAGACAAUCUUUUGAUGAGGAAUACUGCAGUGAGAAAAGUUUCAACCCAUAGAAACAAAGGUAGGUUAGCAUUAUGUAGUAAAGCUAAGCCAGUCUCCACAAUAUGCAUAUGUUUUCUAUUUACAACUCCAUUUUGUUUAGGUGUUAGGACAUGGAAUAUAUCUCACAGUGCCAUGAUCUUCCAAAUGCUUAAUGAAGUCUAUUUGGAUAAACUCACCACCUCCAUCACACUGAAAAAUCUUAAUCUCUUUCGAAAAAUAUUUUUCCAUCAUUUUCUGAAAUUUCAUAAAGACUUCAAAGAA